UAGGGAAUAUUGGACAAUGGGGGCAACCCUGAUCCAGCCAUGCCGCGUGAGUGAAGAAGGCCCUCGGGUUGUAAAGCUCUUUUGUCCGGAAAGAAAAGCUUCGGGUUAAUACCCCGGGGUUCUGACGGUACCGGAAGAAUAAGCACCGGCUAACUUCGUGCCAGCAGCCGCGGUAAUACGAAGGGUGCAAGCGUUACUCGGAAUUACUGGGCGUAAAGCGUGCGUAGGUGGUUGUUGAAGUCUGAGGUGAAAGCCCUGGGCUCAACCUGGGAAUGGCAUUGGAAACUGGGCAGCUAGAGUGCGGUAGAGGGUAGUGGAAUUCCCGGUGUUGCAGUGAAAUGCGUAGAGAUCGGGAGGAACACCUGUGGCGAAGGCGACUGCCUGGACCAGCACUGACACUGAGGCACGAAAGCGUGGGGAGCAAACA
rnacentral:rRNA from 1 species